CUACCUGAGUCUUCAGUUGACAAUGGGCGCACACAAUUUACAGCCAGAAAAUUCGGGUUAUGAAUUGACUCCAAUCAACUUCACGGUUCACAGGAGGACACCAAAAAUUAAAGGAUGGAGUGGCUCCUGAAGACUGCAAUUUCUGUUGAGGACUCAGCCAUAAGGUGAUGCGUGAACUCCCAGGAGACCUACAGAGCAUCACGGGCGUAACCCAAGACUCCAGGAAACACGGGAUUCAUCUGACCGGCCAUCUUUGAUCUCAGAGUUGGCUGGGGUGUGGAAGAACCAAUGUGAACACCUAGGCUACAGAAACAUGCCUUUGUCUCCCAG